UAGCAUUAGAAUAAAUAUAUUUGUCACUGUCGUAAAAAAAAUAACUCUUCAGAAUAUCACAUGGUCCAUUACAUACAGCUCAAGGUAAUAGGCAAAAGAAUGUGUCUUAUUUAGGGUAACCAAAUAAUAAAAAGAAAUUAGUUGGGACACCAAAAAAACAAUAUUUUCUCUAAAAGGGGCCACAAAGAACACCUAAACUAAUUAAUAUUUUCUCCAAAAGGGGCCACAGCUGCAACUUACAUUAAACACCAUCACAGAGAUAGAAAUCAUCAUGACAUUUACAAAACCAAAAUUACAACAAAUUUCC
rnacentral:lncRNA from 1 species